rnacentral:sRNA from 1 species
AACUCCGGACCGCUGGACUCGGCCCGCUGAGGCGCGGGAGGCGGCGGAUUACUCCGCCGCCUCCUCCU